ACGCACGCUGGCGGCGUGCUUAACCCCUGCAAGUCGAACGGAAAGGCCCUGCUUUUGUGGGGUGCUCGAGUGGCGAACGGGUGAGUAACACGUGAGUAACCUGCCCUUGACUUUGGGAUAACUUCAGGAAACUGGGGCUAAUACCGGAUAGGAGCUCCUGCUGCAUGGUGGGGGUUGGAAAGUUUCGGCGGUUGGGGAUGGACUCGCGGCUUAUCAGCUUGUUGGUGGGGUAGUGGCUUACCAAGGCUUUGACGGGUAGCCGGCCUGAGAGGGUGACCGGCCACAUUGGGACUGAGAUACGGCCCAGACUCCUACGGGAGGCAGCAGUGGGGAAUAUUGCACAAUGGGCGGAAGCCUGAUGCAGCAACGCCGCGUGCGGGAUGACGGCCUUCGGGUUGUAAACCGCUUUCGCCUGUGACGAAGCGUGAGUGACGGUAAUGGGUAAAGAAGCACCGGCUAACUACGUG
rnacentral:rRNA from 1 species